rnacentral:lncRNA from 1 species
GUUGGAAAAUAAUUCAUCAAUGACUCGUUAUUGUUCCGAUGUAGCAUUACCAUCAUUCACUGGGUUGCCUUACGUUGUUGAGUUUUUCCGGCCACGCCGAAGAGCACUUUCGAUGCCUGGGUUGAUGCUUAAAUUCUAAACAAAAAUGUUUUUUUUAAAUAAAAAUUAAUAAAUAAAUAAAAUAAAAAAAGAAAAUAAUGAUAAA